rnacentral:lncRNA from 1 species
CACAUUCACAGUGUCUUCUGUGUUCUGGCAAUGUACCAGGUACUGGGGAUACAGCAGUGAACAAGAAAAUCAUAGAUUAGUCCUUGUAGUACUUAGAGUCAUAUGGAGGGAAUUAGACAAUCAAAUAAUUACACAAAUGUUAGCUUGUAUUGUUAAGAAUUAAGUGCUAUGAUGAAGUAAAGGGUGCUAUGAAAGCAGACUACAGGACACUUGACCUAGUUGGGCUGUAGGAGAUGGCCAAGGAAGCCGUCCUCUGAGGAAGUGAUGGUUAAGCUGAAAUCUGAAAUAAAAACGGAGACAAACAGUUAAAGAGGUGAGGGAAGAUCAUCAAGGAGAUUCAAU